rnacentral:rRNA from 1 species
UACGAAGGGGGCUAGCGUUGUUCGGAAUUACUGGGCGUAAAGCGUAUGCAGGCGGAUCGCUAAGUCAGGGGUGAAAUCCCGAGGCUCAACCUCGGAACUGCCUUUGAUACUGACGAUCUUGAGUCCGGGAGAGGUGAGUGGAACUGCGAGUGUAGAGGUGAAAUUCGUAGAUAUUCGCAAGAACACCAGUGGCGAAGGCGGCUCACUGGCCCGGUACUGACGCUGAGGUGCGAAAGCGUGGGAGCAAACAGG